CUGGUUUCCCUCCUUUCUCGUGCUCCGUACAUUUGAAUAAAGGUCAGAAAAAAAUUCUAUCUCGUUGUCUACUGCUUUGUAUAAAAACACCAUGUUUUUACAUCCAAAGGGAGCAUGAUGUAGACACGUAAUUUUGUCCUUUUCCAAAAAUAUUUUAAUCAUUUUUAUUUUUUUUAAUUAUUAUUUUUAUUUUAUUCACCUUACCAUAC
rnacentral:lncRNA from 1 species